UACGUAGGGGGCUAGCGUUGUCCGGAAUCAUUGGGCGUAAAGCGCGUGUAGGCGGCCCGAUAAGUCCGCUGUGAAAGUCCAGGGCUCAACCCUGGGAUGCCGGUGGAUACUGUCGGGCUCGAGUCCGGUAGAGGCGAGUGGAAUUCCUGGUGUAGCGGUGAAAUGCGCAGAUAUCAGGAGGAACACCAAUGGCGAAGGCAGCUCGCUGGGACGUGACUGACGCUGAGACGCGAAAGCGUGGGGAGCAAACAGG
rnacentral:rRNA from 1 species